GAGAGACCAGCUACAGACCAGAAACAACACCCUGACUAAAGAGAGAGACAGGCUUCAGAAUUUGAUAUGUGGUCAGUGAGCUGGUUAUCAUAUUUUCCUUUAUUAUUAAGUCAAUUUGUUCAUUGAGAUCUAGUCCAGUGAAUCAUGGAAAAUAAAAUGUGAUGUUUAUUGUUUUGUAUCAUAUUGUAUCAGUGUUGUGUUGUGUCAUCAAACAGAGAAACCCUGUUGUUUUGAUGGAUGGAGGAAGUUUGACUGCAGUUGUUACUUCCUCUCUACUGAGGAGAAAACCUGGGUGGAGAGUAGACAGUACUGUGUAAACAGAGGAGCAGACCUGGUGAUAAUAAACAGCAGAGAGGAACAGGAGUUUCUCUUCAAUCUCAACAAGAGAGUCUGGAUUGGUCUGACUGACAGAGAGAGAGAGGGGACCUGGAAAUGGGUGGAUGGAACAACACUGACCACAGAGUACUGGUAUGACCCACAACCUAAUAAUUCAGGUCGUUUUGGGGAGGACUGUGCUGGGAUAAACAACAAUCAGCGUCCUCUAAAGGCCUGGAAUGACUUGCCAUGUAACAGGAGACUCAACUGGAUUUGUGAGAAAGUGGUUUAACAUCACCAUGACAACAUACUGUAACACAUACAGUAGCCUACAGUGCACACAACUCUCUCUCUCUCUCUCUCUC